UAUCUCCCCAGCGCCUGGCAGGCAGGUGUGGGGUGUCACAUUGUGUGCCAAUAAUGAUGGCCACCUGGGAUGGAGGAGGGGGAAGUCUGGGGACGUCUCUAACACUUGACAUGGCGCAUCUUCCAAGUACAUAAACAGAAUGCACGUGAGUCCAGCUCAGUGGGUACUCGCGGAUGCAUGGGAAAGAACGCUUCAGCGAAGGCAGUCACUGCCACAAGCUCUUGUAUGCGGCUCCACUUUUCCAUCUGAAUAUCGACCAAAUGCUAUCUUAGCUGCAACACAGCUGUUUGUCCUUCAUGUAGCAGCAAAGACUGUGUUGGCUUCUUCUACUUUCACAUUUUCCUGUCUCCUGCCGUGUGUGUUAGUUGGUUGAUCAGUCAGUCAUGCUCUGCCUGAGGGAGGUGAACCUGGUGGGAGUUUGUUAGCAUCAAUGGAGGAAGAAGAUGGCGCGGGACAAGAUGGAAGCUGCAAACCUACACGAAGGAAACUGGAGUUUGGGGGGUAAGUUCCAAGUUAGGGGCAAUAGCCCAGCGGGGAGGUAGGCGAGGGGGCAGGGUUUUAGCGCCCAUGGGGUUGAAUUCCCCUUUAAGACAUACCGUUAAAUCCAUAAGCCUCCUGCUCACCAGUGGAUAGCACAUCAACCCCCAGCACAUGCUUAAAAAUAAAAUGAUUGUUAUGGUGCCCUCCCCAUAACAAUUAUUUCAAAAUGCUAAAACAGGGGAGUCCAUUCACAGCAAAUCAUAAUGUGAAUGCCACUAGGAAAUGCUAUUUUUAGAAAAUACACUGGAUCCUAGAGGAUUCUCGUUUUCCAGAAAAGCAGAACAGGAUGUCCAUUCACGGUAUUCCAUAGUGUUUAACCCACUGGUAAAUAGACUCUUUACCAUGAAAUACACUAGAUCCUAGUGGAUUAUAGUAUCCCAGUAGAGCAGUACAGGAUGUCUGUUCAUACUAUCCUAGUGUAGCCCACUGGGAAAUACUAUUUACUGAAAAAAACACUAGAUCCUAGUGGAUAAUAUCCCUGGUAAGCAAAGAUGUAUGUAAGCAACAUACAAAAUACACUAGAUUCUAGUGUCUUAUAAUAUACCAGUAGAGCGGAGCAGAGAACCCACUAAGAGCAUAUUGUAUUGAGUUUCCCACUAGGAAAUAGACUCUGUGUAAAAUACACUAAAUCCUAGUUGCUGACAUUAUCCUAUAAGAACCAUGAUAUACUAUAAAGAGUAAAAGGGAGAGUAUACCUUUAAAAUAAAUGAGCUAAUUCAUACCCACUAAAAAUAAGUGGGAUGUAUUUUACAUGCACUAUAUUGUCUAGUUUCUAUUCAUUUUCCAACUAGAAAAUUGUUCCAUUAGCAACUUGGAACUAGCUAUGUCUGACUGGAUUGUCUAGUUUCUAUUACUGUACCUUUUCCCACUAGGAUUUAGCCCAACCACACUGAAAGAUCUAUUUCCUAAUCUGUAAAGAUUCUCUGUACCAUUAGCAACUUGGAUCUAGACGCAACGGUUUGACUGCAGUUCUCAGCGCCGCCUCCCCGCACUGCCUGUCUUAAUUACAGCUCAAACCAACUCCUGUGGGGUUGCAGGUCACAGCUCAGGCCAUUUUUGUGUGAGCAUUUCAAUUCAUUUGGACUACAGUGCUGCCCCUCAAGCUGUCAGACAAUGGCUUGUCCCGCAAACAAACAAUGGCUGAGGAGUGGCCGCUUCAUGGUCACAUGGGAUACACAGGGACACUGUACGUCCAGACAGAUUCCCAAUAGUUCAAUGGCUUUACAGGAAUUUGUCAGGAAACACUGUACUAAAAAGCGCUGAUUGAUGGAUGAAAAUGAAUUUAACAAAUAUCUUUUUAACUGUAUGAAAUAUUUUGCUCUAACUAGCAUAUUGCCUUUGUUUCCCUCCACUGCUUCAGACAGUCCUUCCUGCCAUGCAGGGCAAAUCCAGUUGGUAGUGGACUGUACAGAGACAGCCAAUCAGGAGUACGUUUAUAUGGGAACUAAUCCUUAUGAGCCUUGUGUUUUUGCUUCUAAUUGGCUCCUGCUCCUUAACCUACUGGAAAGCCUGUACAUCCCAUAAGAGCUGUGACUAGCGGUGACACCUUUGCUGGUGGCUAAACCCAAACAGUAGGGGCGGGGAAGAUCGCAUUGGGGGUGGAGCAGUGAUCUUGGGUUGGGCAUGAUGACAUCAGAGGAAGCCACAAUGAUGUCAUGGAGCUAUGAUGCCGGGUCAGGAUUAUUACAUCACUUCAAUGCAAAUGGCUGGAUUUCUGUCCAGUUUUCGCAAUGUUUUAAAUGGGACAGAAAGUUUUGAACAGACAGGCCUUUCACAAACUGAGUUGUCCACUUGAAACCCACACAGCUGGAAACCCUACCUCUAUCUAUUCUGCCUGAUGAGUAAGACCAAUCCUUUAGCUACAGGUACGGGAUCUAUUAUACAGAAAUCAGUUAUCCAGAAAGCUCUGAAAUACAGCAAUGCUCAUUUAGAAAAAAUAUUUCUUAUUUUUGAUUGAUGUGCUUAUAACAAGAAAUUAACUGCACUCCAUAUUUAAUAACUACGCCAUGUCAAGGUGAGUAUCUUGGUAUUUAAUUGGUUUUCAUCUGGCCAGAUUAUUGUUCGGUUUUCACAAGGCUGAAAACCGAACAGAAAGUUGAGACCCGAACAGGCCUUAGGAAACCCGAACUGUUAAGGUCAAAACUGAACGGCAACCCUAGCUGUGACAUUGUACUGGCAGAUACAUUAGAUAGCUUCAGGAUGGGGUUGGAAGGCUUAGUGACAGAUAUAAAAAAUACCCUUGGUAAUAUGUAGAGCCAUGGACUGGUCCAGUUUAAGUUUUGGCAUCAUGAAUGAUUGUGUUCCCCUCUUCUGGGGCAAACUGAACGUGGCUUCAACUUUAUUAUUGUUUUCAAUGGAUCAGCUAGAGGUUAGGGAGGUUUUACUGCUCAACAAACUACAAAGGGUGAUUUUGUUGGAGGUAUUUUUACCACCUUCAACUUUUGUAUAACUAUGUACUAAGUAACACUAGCUAGCCUCCUUUAUGGGGUGCAAAUAUGGGCAAUGACUGGGCCACAAUUAAGCAAAAUGUUUGCCACUAGAUUCUUCCACACCCCCUCAUCCCAAUACCAGUGCUGUGCAAGCAGGAAGAGUGCCCAAGGCAAGCCGCCGAUCACAUCCACCCCUAUGCCCAUUGAGAAAGAUAGAGAUAAGCAGAGUGACAAGAAGCCCAGAACCCCUGCUUGCCACCACAAAAAGUCCAUAUGACAAUCCUCUAGUAGCCUCACCUAAGGAAAGGCAGGAGAUUUACAUGCUUAGCUACCCAACCUUUCACACCUCUUCUUUACUUUCUGUGAUGUUGUUCAGUGAAUGGCAGACCAAGGGCUUCUCCUAGCUCUUCCCUUUGCUGACUGUGAUCAAUGGUGUAUUGGCUGUUGCUCAUCAGCAGAAAUGAUCACCCACUUGCCAUUACAAACUCCUUUAAUGGUCGGGCACAAAAACUGGUAAGUAACUGUAUAUACUAUAUCUGUACAAUAUUACAUAGCUGCAUUCAUCAUUACAUUCUUUAUCAGAUAUAAAAACUCAAGCUGCCAUCAGUUGUAAAAUAAAAUGGCUGCUGGGGUUCCAUUACAGUAGAUGAGGUUGUAGACAGGUAAAAUAAUUUUGCCUGCUUACAGCAUGGAACAAGAUGGACAUUUCCAUGGAUGGAAUGCACAAAACCAUUCCUGUAACCUCUAGUGAAGCAGACAAUGAGAAUUAAUUCUGCUCCGGUGCAUCACACACACUGGAAGGAAUUCCAACAUUAGCAUAAGAAGAGGAAAACAUGGCAGCUGUCCUGCCUCGCCUUCACUCAUGCAAUUUGUGUUAGGAAGCUGAAAAAGGAUUAGGCAGAAUAGCUAAUAAUUCCACUUCUGUACAUCACUGUGUAAUUCAGUGUUAAUACAAGAAGUCUGGCACUUAUUUAAAGAGGUUAAGUGAAAUAUAAAUAUUUUGUUAUUAAAUAGUAUAUGAGGUUCAGUAAAAUGAAUGAAAUGUUGUGUAAUGUUGCCCUAAAGGCACAAUUAGAAAUUGCUGUAAUCUGAAUACUGUGGUUUCUCUAUACACAUGCAUGCUCUAACCACAACAGAAAUGCUACAAUGUCACCUUGACUUUGGGAAGAGGAAACCUGAACAGCUAUAGCUAAAAGGAAUGAGCUUGUAUUAAUUAUUCAUGUACAUACAACAGAAACAAGUUGUCAGGGAUAUAUUGUUUCCUUCGUUGCAGUGCCAGGUCAGUUGAGGGGUGUUUAGGAGCGAGAUGAGAUAGGUCAGCAAGCAGUUUUUAGUGGCUUGGUUUUCUUGAUACUACACAUGAAAUGGUCUAUAUAUGUUUUAUAGGUAAAGAAAAGGUUCUACUUUACGUGGACACUAAUACAUGCGCUGCCAGGACAGUCAACCCUAUUUGCACCCAGGCCGAGACUGGCAAUCUGUGGUUUCUGGCAAAUGCCAGAGGGGCUGCCAUAAUAUGCUAUAGAACAUCAUUAUUUAGUGGGCUGGUGGGGAGCUGAUUGGGCCUCUCUGAACUGUAAUGCCUGGACCUAUUUUUACUACCAGUCCAGACCUGCCUACCACCCAAUUUAUUAGGCAAUUAUGUAUGUCUGUGUAAACAGAAAUAUAAAAAAAAAAUUUUUGGAAAUUGAAAUAGUAUUUAUGAACCUUUUUUCAAAAGGCCAAGUUUAUAAUUUUCCUUUAAUGUCAUAAUUCUGCUGUUAUAUGUAAAAACAAGAAUAAUGAAGUUCCACAAUGUCUAAGCCUACAGGAGUAUAAAUGAAAAGUAACUGCAAAAAUACAAUAAAAUAACAGGCCUGACAGGGCAGCUCCUGCAUUGAGAUCCUUACUGUAGGUGCCAGUGUGUGGCAGGCUAUGAGGUUUGCCACUUUUGGUAACUUUAAGAGCUGAACGCCCAGAAUUCAAGCCUAUUGGUUGUUCUGAAUGAUGCAUCUUUCCUUUAGUUCCUUAGUGAUAAAACAGGAUAAUACAUUCUCCUAAUUAUCUACUUAUUACAUUUUAAUAUAUUCCAUACCUGAGUAAGUUGAAUGAUUGAUUCAUCUUUAUUAACAUAGCUGUGUGUAUAAAUAUGCAUGAAAAUGAUGUAUUCAGAGUGGCAAUGGAACUGUCUGACAAACUCGAGCUAUGGAGGCAGCACUAAGCUACUAAUUACCACACUCAUCCUAGAAUUUUGUGACACAGAAGUAAUCCAGUGGCCCUAAAAAUGAAUAUAGUGUCUCUGUAUAAUGAUAAUGAAUGAUCAUUCAUACAAUCCAUUGGUCAACUAGAAGAUACAGGAUGAUUUUUGGAAGAAGGCCCUACCUAAUACCUCAUCACACAAGUACAAUUCUAUUUCUCAUACACCAGAAAUAAACAGUUGAU